rnacentral:rRNA from 1 species
UCUGACUUGAGUGCAGNGGGGGAGAGUGGAAUUCCAUGUGUAGCGGUGAAAUGCGUAGAUAUAUGGAGGAACACCAGUGGCGAAAGCGGCUCUCUGGUCUGUCACUGACGCUGAGGCUCGAAAGCGUGGGUAGCGAACAGGAUUAGAUACCCUGGUAGUNCACGCCGUAAACGAUGAGUGCUAGGUGUUAGGCCCUUUCCGGGGCUUAGUGCCGGAGCUAACGCAAUAAGCACUCCGCCUGGGGAGUACGACCGCAAGGUUGAAACUCAAAGGAAUUGACGGGGGCCCGCACAAGCGGUGGAGCAUGUGGUUUAAUUCGAAGCAACGCGGAGAACCUUACCAGGUCUUGACAUCCCGAUGCUAUUCUUAGAGAUAGGAAGUUACUUCGGUACAUCGGAGACAGGUGGUGCAUGGUUGUCGUCAGCUCGUGUCGUGAGAUGUUGGGUUAAGUCCCGCAACGAGCGCAACCCUUAUUGUUAGUUGCCAUCAUUAAGUUGGGCACUCUAGCGAGACUGCCGGUAAUAAACCGGAGGAAGGUGGGGAUGACGUCAAAUCAUCAUGCCCCUUAUGACCUGGGCUACACACGUGCUACAAUGGUCGGUACAACGAGUUGCGAGCCGGUGACGGCAAGCUAAUCUCUGAAAGCCGAUCUCAGUUCGGAUUGGAGGCUGCAACUCGCCUCCAUGAAGUCGGAAUCGCUAGUAAUCGCGGAUCAGCACGCCGCGGUGAAUACGUUCCCGGGCCUUGUACACACCGCCCGUCACACCACGAGAGUUUGUAACACCCGAAGUCGGUGAGGUAACCUUUUAGGGGCCAGCC